GACGAACCGUCCAAACGUUAUUCGGAAUCACUGGGCUUAAAGGGUGCGUAGGCGGCGCGGAAAGUUGGGUGUGAAAUCCCUCGGCUUAACCGAGGAACGGCGCCCAAAACUACCGUGCUCGAGGGAGAUAGAGGUGAGCGGAACUUAGGGUGGAGCGGUGAAAUGCGUUGAUAUCCUAAGGAACACCGGUGGCGAAAGCGGCUCACUGGAUCUCUUCUGACGCUGAGGCACGAAAGCUAGGGUAGCGAACGGG
rnacentral:rRNA from 1 species